rnacentral:rRNA from 1 species
CUCUCCAAUAGCGUAUAUUAAAGUUGCUGCAGUUAAAAAGCUCGUAGUUGCAUUUCCGAGGCAAGGGAUUAGUCCGACCUUUGGUGGGUAUUUAAUCCUCUUGCCUCGUCCUUGAGUGGUGCUUCUUGGUAUUAAGUUAUCGAGGAGAUAGCCGCUCAUCGUUUACUGUGAGAAAAUUAGAGUGUUCAAAGCAGGCUUAUGCCGUUGAAUAUAUUAGCAUGGAAUAAUAAGAUAGGACCUCGGUACUAUUUUGUUGGUUUGAGAACCAAGGUAAUGAUGAAUAGGGACAGUUGGGGGUAUUCGUAUUCAGUUGUCAGAGGUGAAAUUCUUAGAUUUACGGAAGACGAACUACUGCGAAAGCAUUUACCAAGGAUGUUUUCA